rnacentral:rRNA from 1 species
AGAGCUUGCUCUCGGGCGAACGGUAACAGGAAGCAGCUUGCUGCUUCGCUGACGAGUGGCGGACGGGUGAGUAAUGUCUGGGAAACUGCCUGAUGGAGGGGGAUAACUACUGGAAACGGUGGCUAAUACCGCAUAACGUCGCAAGACCAAAGAGGGGGACCUUCGGGCCUCUUGCCAUCAGAUGUGCCCAGAUGGGAUUAGCUUGUUGGUGAGGUAACGGCUCACCAAGGCGACGAUCCCUAGCUGGUCUGAGAGGAUGACCAGCCACACUGGAACUGAGACACGGUCCAGACUCCUACGGGAGGCAGCAGUGGGGAAUAUUGCACAAUGGGCGCAAGCCUGAUGCAGCCAUGCCGCGUGUAUGAAGAAGGCCUUCGGGUUGUAAAGUACUUUCAGCGGGGAGGAAGGUGUUGUGGUUAAUAACCGCAGCAAUUGACGUUACCCGCAGAAGAAGCACCGGCUAACUCCGUGCCAGCAGCCGCGGUAAUACGGAGGGUGCAAGCGUUAAUCGGAAUUACUGGGCGUAAAGCGCACGCAGGCGGUCUGUCAAGUCGGAUGUGAAAUCCCCGGGCUCAACCUGGGAACUGCAUUCGAAACUGGCAGGCUUGAGUCUUGUAGAGGGGGGUAGAAUUCCAGGUGUAGCGGUGAAAUGCGUAGAGAUCUGGAGGAAUACCGGUGGCGAAGGCGGCCCCCUGGACAAAGACUGACGCUCAGGUGCGAAAGCGUGGGGAGCAAACAGGAUUAGAUACCCUGGUAGUCCACGCCGUAAACGAUGUCUACUUGGAGGUUGUGCCCUUGAGGCGUGGCUUCCGGAGCUAACGCGUUAAGUAGACCGCCUGGGGAGUACGGCCGCAAGGUUAAAACUCAAAUGAAUUGACGGGGGCCCGCACAAGCGGUGGAGCAUGUGGUUUAAUUCGAUGCAACGCGAAGAACCUUACCUGGUCUUGACAUCCACGGAAGUUUUCAGAGAUGAGAAUGUGCCUUCGGGAACCAAGAACCUUACCUGGUCUUGACAUCCACAGAAGAAUCCAGAGAUGGAUUUGUGCCUUCGGGAACUGUGAGACAGGUGCUGC